UACGUAGGGUGCGAGCGUUAAUCGGAAUUACUGGGCGUAAAGCGUGCGCAGGCGGUUCGCUAAGACCGAUGUGAAAUACCCCGGGCCGUUAACCUGGGGAACUGCAUUGGUGACUGGCGGGCUAGAGUAUGGCAGAGGGGGGGUAGAAUUCCACGUGUAGCAGUGAAAUGCGUAGAGAUGUGGAGGAAUACCGAUGGCGAAGGCAGCCCCCUGGGCCAAUACUGACGCUCAUGCACGAAAGCGUGGGGGAGCAAACAGG
rnacentral:rRNA from 1 species